UACGAAGGGGGCUAGCGUUGUUCGGAAUUACUGGGCGUAAAGCGCGCGUAGGCGGACGUUUAAGUCAGGGGUGAAAUGCCGGGGCUCAACCUCGGAACUGCCUUUGAUACUGGACGUCUGGAGUUCGGGAGAGGUGAGUGGAAUUCCGAGUGUAGAGGUGAAAUUCGUAGAUAUUCGGAGGAACACCAGGAGCGAAGGCGGCUCACUGGCCCGAUACUGACGCUGAGGCGCGAAAGCGUGGGGAGCAAACAGG
rnacentral:rRNA from 1 species